rnacentral:misc_RNA from 1 species
ACCGUUGUAAUAUGUCCAGCACUGUCGGUAAUAUAGUUUUGUGAAUAAAACAUUUUCUAAAGAUAAAUAUGAUUAUAUAUUAUGUCAUACGUAUGUAUAGAUUUUCUGUUUGUAAAUGGAUUACAAAUUUAUUUAUUCGAUAAAUUUGGAAAGUAUCACUGGAAGUAACUUCUGAAGAAUAUAAGCUGUGAUUUUUUCUUCAAAAUACUUUUAAUUCACAUAGAAAAGAAGAUGGAUUGAACAAAGAUAUGUCUACUUUGAUAUUUGGCAUUGGUACGGGAUUGUUCUUGAUUCUAAUUUUAUGGGCAAUUGCAAUAAUAACUUUUUUAAUAUCAUUACGAAUAGAGAAGAAAAUUGGUUCGGUUAUCAUAAUUGUCAUAGGUCUUCUUACUAUAAUUUUGUUCAGUAUUCCUCGAGCUUCCGAUAAACCUAAUGUCAAUGAAAGAAAGCCUUAUGAUCAUCUUUUUAUUUGGCGUAUAAUAUUAUUUACUUUACUACUGAUUUCAUCUAUAAUUGGAAUUUUGGCAUAUAUCAAAUUUCAAUUACUAGAAUCUGUCAGACCUGUGCGCGUAUCUAAUUGGAUUUUCUGAUUAUUAAAGAUUGCAAGUUUGAUAAAAUCUGUCCAGUGAAUUGUCCAACUACAAAUAUAUUAAAUAUAGUAUUGUAAUUAUAAACGGAUCAGAUUUUUUAUGUUAAAUAAAAUUAAUAACACAAAUUUAUAAUGUUGCGGAAUAUUAACAAAUCAUUUCCAAUGUGGGUACGUCGUAUCUCAUUAUCUCAUCAAAA